rnacentral:rRNA from 1 species
GACGAACGCUGGCGGCGUGCUUAACACAUGCAAGUCGAACGGAAAGGCCUUUUCGGAGGUACUCGAGUGGCGAACGGGUGAGUAACACGUGGGUGAUCUGCCCUGCACUCUGGGAUAAGCCUGGGAAACUGGGUCUAAUACCGGAUAGGACCGCACUUUAGUGUGUGUGGUGGAAAGUUUUUUCGGUGUAGGAUGAGCCCGCGGCCUAUCAGCUUGUUGGUGGGGUAAUGGCCUACCAAGGCGGCGACGGGUAGCCGGACUGAGAGGUUGGUCGGCCACAUUGGGACUGAGAUACGGCCCAGACUCCUACGGGAGGCAGCAGUGGGGAAUAUUGCACAAUGGGCGCAAGCCUGAUGCAGCGACGCCGCGUGGGGGAUGACGGCCUUCGGGUUGGAAACUCCUUUCGCCAGGGACGAAGCGUUUUGUGACGGUACCUGGAGAAGGAGCACCGGCUAACUACGUG